rnacentral:pre_miRNA from 1 species
ACCACAUUUGGACCGUUGGUCUACCGAGAAAUAUCAUCCGCUCGGUGGAAGAUCUUUCCUUUCGUCGU